AUACCUACCUGGCUGGGGAGAUCCCAUGAUGAUGAAGGUGCUUUUCCCAGGGUGAGGCUUAUUCAUUGCACUCCAGAUGUGCUGACCCCUGUGAUUUCCCCAAAUGUAGGAAACUCAACUGCAUAAUUUUUGGUAGUGAGGGACUGCAUUCACACUCUUUCC